rnacentral:rRNA from 1 species
CAACGACUCUCGGCAACGGAUAUCUCGGCUCUCGCAUCGAUGAAGAACGUAGCGAAAUGCGAUACUUGGUGUGAAUUGCAGAAUCCCGUGAACCAUCGAGUCUUUGAACGCAAGUUGCGCCCGAMGCCGUCAGGCCGAGGGCAYGUCUGCCUGGGYGUCACGC